CCCUUAGAUGUUCUGGGCCGCACGCGUGCUACACUGAGUGGAUCAGCGGGUCAGGUUGCGCGAAAGUGUUUCCUAAUCUUGAAAUCCGCUCGUGAUGGGGAUUGACGGUUGCAAUUUUCCGUCAUGAACGAGGAAUACCUUGUAAGCGCGGGUCAUCAUCCCGCGCUGAAUACGUCCCUGCCCUUUGUACACACCGCCCGUCGCUCCUACCGAUUGAGUGGUCCGGUGAGGCUUUGGGAUCUGAGCGGAAAGAGCGUUUCGCUGUUUCUGCUCGGAAAACUCAGUCGAACCUUAUCAUUUAGAGGUAGGAGAAGUCGUAACA
rnacentral:rRNA from 1 species